UGCAUAUCAUAGGAAUUAGGUGCCAUAUAUCCUUUCGGGUGUAUGGUUAAAAGGGAAGACUGGUGAAAUACCAGCACGGACCCGCCACUGUAAAAAUCACCGUUGAUCACGGUAACUCCUUGCUACAUGUCACUGGGUAACAACCUGGGAAGGCGCAAGGGAAUGAUUUAAGUCAGGAGACCUGCCUAAUUCAACAACACAAU
rnacentral:ncRNA from 2 species